UUUAAAUUGAGAGUUUGAUCCUGGCUCAGGAUGAACGCUGGUGGCGUGCCUAAUACAUGCAAGUCGUACGCUAGCCGCUGAAUUGAUCCUUCGGGUGAAGUGAGGCAAUGACUAGAGUGGCGAACUGGUGAGUAACACGUAAGAAACCUGCCCUUUAGUGGGGGAUAACAUUUGGAAACAGAUGCUAAUACCGCGUAACAACAAAUCACACAUGUGAUCUGUUUGAAAGGUCCUUUUGGAUCGCUAGAGGAUGGUCUUGCGGCGUAUUAGCUUGUUGGUAGGGUAGAAGCCUACCAAGGC
rnacentral:rRNA from 1 species